UAGGGAAUCUUCGGCAAUGGGGGGAACCCUGACCGAGCAACGCCGCGUGAGUGAAGAAGGUUUUCGGAUCGUAAAGCUCUGUUGUUAAGGAAGAACGAGUGUGAGAAUGGAAAGUUCAUGCUGUGACGGUACUUAACCAGAAAGGGACGGCUAACUACGUGCCAGCAGCCGCGGUAAUACGUAGGUCCCGAGCGUUGUCCGGAUUUAUUGGGCGUAAAGCGAGCGCAGGCGGUUAGAAAAGUCUGAAGUGAAAGGCAGUGGCUCAACCAUUGUAGGCUUUGGAAACUGUUUAACUUGAGUGCAGAAGGGGAGAGUGGAAUUCCCUGUGUAGCGGUGAAAUGCGUAGAUAUAUGGAGGAACACCGGUGGCGAAAGCGGCUCUCUGGUCUGUCACUGACGCUGAGGCUCGAAAGCGUGGGGAGCGAACAGG
rnacentral:rRNA from 1 species